GCCGCGUUGGCGUAGCGGUAGCGCGUCUCACUUGUAUGAAAAAUUCAAUGAGAAGGUCACUCGUUCAAUCCGGGUACGUGGCA